AUUUGCCAACAUGGCGUCAAGAACAGAAUUAAAUUUCAAGAAAUUACUAAGUAGGUGCGAAACGAUGGCAAAGGACAGAAAUUCUGGAGAGUGGAGAUUUGAGAAAUAUGUAGAAACUCUGCAAGAUUUACUGAGUGAAAUGAAGAGGUCUCGAGUCAGCCGCCCUCCUCAAAAAAACCUUGAUGAGUACACUGAGAAAUUGGUGUACCUGAAAGAGCUGGUGGAAUCUGACAAAGGGGU